rnacentral:misc_RNA from 1 species
AACGCACGAGACCUGCGGACCUGCGGAGGGAUCAUUAAUGAGAAGCUGCCCCUCGUGGGUAGACCUCCCACCCUCUGUGAACUUACCUUUGUUGCUUUGGCAGGCCCGUCCUCUGGACCGCCGGCUUCGGCUGGCCCGUGCCUGCCAGAGGAUUCCAAACUCUGUCUGUCAGUGUUGUCUGAGUCUAUAUGAAAUCGUUAAAACUUUUAACAACGGAUCUCUAGAUCGGAAGAGCACACG